UACGAAGGGGGCUAGCGUUGCUCGGAAUCACUGGGCGUAAAGCGCACGUAGGCGGAUUGCUAAGUCAGGGGUGAAAUCCUGGAGCUCAACUCCAGAACUGCCCUUGAUACUGGCGGUCUCGAGUCCGGGAGAGGUGAGUGGAACUGCGAGUGUAGAGGUGAAAUUCGUAGAUAUUCGCAAGAACACCAGUGGCGAAGGCGGCUCACUGGCCCGGAACUGACGCUGAGACGCGAAAGCGUGGGGAGCAAACAGG
rnacentral:rRNA from 1 species